AUCCUUUAAAGAGUGCGUAACAGCUCACUAGUCGAAUGACUCUGCGCCGAUAAUUUACCGGGGCUAAGCAUACUACCGAAGCUAUGGAUCCUACGGGAUGGUAGGGGAGCGUUCCAUGAACGGAGAAGUACGACCGGAAGGACGUGUGGAGAUCAUGGAAGAGAGAAUGCCGGUGUGAGUAGCGGAACGUGGGUGAGAAUCCCACGCACCGAAAACCCAAGGAUUCCAGAGGAAGGUUCGUCCGCUCUGGGUAAGUCGGGACCUAAGGCGAGGCCGAAAGGCGUAGUCGAUGGACAACAGGUAGAGAUUCCUGUACUUGUAUAUAUGUGAAGGAAUGACGGAGAGAGAAAGCUGAAGCCAGCGGCUGGAAGAGCUGGUGCAAGCGAGAUAGCGGGAUGGCAGGCAAAUCCGCCAUCCACAACGCGAAGACGUGAUGCGAACGGAAAGCUACGGCGAGUACGGAAGUCAGUGGACGAGCUUCCAAGAAAAGUUUCUAACAUAAGUAUAUGCAACCCGUACCGAAAAUGGACACACAUGGGUGAGGAGAGAAUCCUAAGGUGAGCGAGAGAACUAUAGCUAAGGAACUCUGCAAAAUGACUCCGUAACUUAGGGAGAAGGAGUGCUCAUAGAGAUAUGAGCCGCAGUGAAACGGCCCAAGCGACUGUUUACCAAAAACACAGCUCUCUGCUAAGCCGCAAGGCGAAGUAUAGGGGGUGACGCCUGCCCGGUGCUGGAAGGUUAAGGGGAGGGGUUAACGCAAGUGAAGCCCUGAACUGAAGCCCCAGUAAACGGCGGCCGUAACUAUAACGGUCCUAAGGUAGCGAAAUUCCUUGUCAGGUAAGUUCUGACCCGCACGAAAGGCGUAACGAUUUGGGCGCUGUCUCAGCUGUAGACUCGGUGAAGUCUUAGUACCUGUGAAGAUGCAGGUUACCCGCGACUAGACGGAAAGACCCCAUGGAGCUUCACUGCAGGUUGAUAUUGGGAUUUGAUGCAGCAUGUACAGGAUAGGUAGGAGGCAAUGAGAUGGAUACGCCAGUAUUCAAGGAGCCGCUGUUGGGAUACUACCCCUGUUGUAUUGGAUUUCUAACCGGACGACGUAAGCCGUUGACGGGACAGUGUCAGUCGGGCAGUUUGACUGGGGCGGUCGCCUCCCAAAGAGUAACGGAGGCGCCCAAAGAUACCCUCAGCUUGGAUGGAAACCAAGCGCAGAGUGCAAAGGCAAAAGGGUGUUUGACUGCGAGACCCACAAGUCGAGCAGGGACGAAAGUCGGGCUUAGUGAUCCGGCGGUGCUGAAUGGAAAGGCCGUCGCUCAACGGAUAAAAGCUACCCUGGGGAUAACAGGCUGAUCUCCCCCAAGAGUCCACAUCGACGGGGAGGUUUGGCACCUCGAUGUCGGCUCAUCGCAUCCUGGGGCUGAAGUAGGUCCCAAGGGUUGGGCUGUUCGCCCAUUAAAGCGGUACGCGAGCUGGGUUCAGAACGUCGUGAGACAGUUCGGUCCCUAUCUGUCGUGGGCGCAGGAAAUUUGAGAAGAGCUGUCCUCAGUACGAGAGGACCGGGAUGGACGCAUCAAUGGUGGACCAGUUGUCACGCCAGUGGCAUAGCUGGGUAGCUAAAUGCGGAAGGGAUAAACGCUGAAGGCAUCUAAGUGUGAAACCCACUUCAAGAUGAGAUUUCCCAUUGC
rnacentral:rRNA from 1 species